rnacentral:rRNA from 1 species
AUGAGAGCCAUUGCUUGGAAUUGCCGAGGUAUGGGCCGGGGCCUCGGCAAUGACCGUAUGCUUUACUUGGCUAAUUUGAUGCGGUCCGCGAAAUCUCAGGUAACGUUUGUUUCUGAAAUCAAAUCCUCCAAAGUUUGUUCUGUUGAUUUGGUUAAUAGGUUUAAUGUUGCUAAUGGUUUUGUUGUUCCUUCUAGAGGUGCUUCGGGAGGGCUUUGGCUGAUGUGGACCGAUGAUCUUAAAGUCUCUGUUCAUAGUGCUGCUUUCCACUACAUAUUAGCUAAAGUAGUUCAUGUAGCUUCGGGGGUCAACUUUUGUUUGAUUUGUAUAUAUGGUGACCCGUACCAUAGGCAAACUAGUACCAUCUGGGAUCAAGUUUCUACUUUUGUGUAUGAUAAUCUGGGUAUCCCCAUGAUGUGUUUGGGGGACUUGAAUGACAUCCUGUUUGAUAUUGAUGGUUGUAAUGGCUAUGUGAAUUACUAUCGUAUGCAUGCUUUCCGUUCCCUUGUCAAAAAUUGUGGUUUGUUUGAUAUUGGUUAUUGUGGUCCAGCCUAUACUUGGCGCGGUAGACAACACACUUCUAAACCUAUUUAUAGACGCCUUGACCGUUGUUUAGUUAAUUCUGAGUGGUGCAUGCAUUACCCUAAUACCAAGGUUCUUAAUCUGCCUAUUAUUUUGAGUGAUCAUGCCCCCAUUUUGGUGUCUACUGAAGGUAAUUUUGUCAAGCCUCGGCAAACUUUCAAAUUUGAAAAUUGGUGGUUAAUGGAGAAAGAUUUUCAUGCCUUUGCUAAAUCUGCCUGGAAUGCUAGUCCCUCACAUUCUUUUGUAGCAAAAUCCUCUUCUUUGGCAGGGUCUUUGAAAAUGUGGUGCAAGAAGAAGAAGCCUUUUCAGAAUGAUCUUUUGGACUUGGAAGCUCGUAUCAAUCAACUGCAGCAACUUCCUUUACAACAACGGGACCAUAAUUUGGAAACUUCUCUCACUAAUAGGUAUGAGUUCUGUUGA